rnacentral:rRNA from 1 species
UGGGGAAUAUUGGGCAAUGGGGGAAACCCUGACCCAGCAACGCCGCGUGAGGGAAGAAGGUUUUCGGAUUGUAAACCUCUGUCAUGCGGGAAGAAGGAAGUGACGGUACCGCAUGAGGAAGCCCCGGCUAACUACGUGCCAGCAGCCGCGGUAAUACGUAGGGGGCGAGCGUUGUCCGGAAUUACUGGGCGUAAAGGGUGCGCAGGCGGCUAUACAAGUCAGAUGUGAAAAGCUACGGCUUAACCGUGGACGUGCAUAUGAAACUGUAUAGCUUGAGUGCGGGAGAGGCAAGCGGAAUUCCUAGUGUAGCGGUGAAAUGCAUAGAUAUUAGGAGGAACACCAGUGGCGAAGGCGGCUUGCUGGACCGUAACUGACGCUGAGGCACGAAAGCGUGGGGAGCAAACAG